rnacentral:tRNA from 1 species
GCGGACGUAGCUCAGUUGGUAGAGCGCGAGCUUCCCAAGCUCGAGGUCGCGGGUUCGAUCCCCGUCGUCCGCU